UCCGUUCCCACUCCUGGGAUACAGUCACCUAAUCACCGCUCACCAGAUCACACCGCCUAAAGUUGUCACCACCUCAACACAGCUGGAAAGCAAGCUUCCUGUCUCUGUAAGUCCUGGAGGUGCCCCUGGAUGUGGGAGGCAGAAACCAAC